rnacentral:rRNA from 1 species
AACGAACGCUGGCGGCAUGCCUAACACAUGCAAGUCGAACGAGACCUUCGGGUCUAGUGGCGCACGGGUGCGUAACGCGUGGGAAUCUGCCCUUCGGUUCGGAACAACAGUUAGAAAUGACUGCUAAUACCGGAUAAUGACGUAAGUCCAAAGAUUUAUCGCCGAAGGGAUGAGCCCGCGUAAGAUUAGGUAGUUGGUGGGGUAAAUGGCCUACCAAGCCGACGAUCUUUAGCUGGUCUGAGAGGAUGAUCAGCCACACUGGGACUGAGACACGGCCCAGACUCCUACGGGAGGCAGCAGUGGGGAAUAUUGGACAAAUGGGCGAAAGCCUGAUCCAGCAAUGCCGCGUGAGUGAUGAAGGCCUUAGGGUUGUAAAGCUCUUUUACCAGGGAUGAUAAUGACAGUACCUGGAGAAUAAGCUCCGGCUAACUCCGUGCCAGCAGCCGCGGUAAU